rnacentral:rRNA from 1 species
GUAACGGCCCCCUCCCCUCGGGGCAGCGGUGACAGGUGGUGCAUGGUUGUCGUCAGCUCGUGUCGUGAGAUGUUGGGUUAAGUCCCGCAACGAGCGCAACCCCUGCUUCCAGUAGCCAGCACAUCAUGGUGGGCACUCUGGAGGGACUGCCGGGGAUGACCCGGAGGAAGGCGGGGAUGACGUCAAAUCAUCAUGCCCCUUAUGGCUUGGGCUACACACGUGCUACAAUGGCGCACACAAAGGGAGGCGAAGGGGUGACCCGGAGCAAACCCCAGAAAAGGCGCCCCAGUUCGGAUCGCAGCCUGCAACCCGGCUGCGUGAAGCUGGAAUCGCUAGUAAUCGCGGAUCAGAAUGCCGCGGUGAAUACGUUCCCGGGUCUUGUACACACCGCCCGUCACACCAUGGGAGCCGGAAACGCCCGAAGCCAGCGGCCCAACCGCAAGGAGGGAGCUGUCGAAGGCGGGUCCGGUGACCGGGGUGAAGUCGUAACAAGGUAGCCGUAUCGGAAG